CUAUGAUGACAGUGAAGCGCUGGUCUCCAAAUCCAGGAUCCACAUCAAUUGGAAAACCUACUAUUCAUCCAGCUACUGUUGACUUGAGAGGAAAAGCAUAUGACAUGUUGAGACUAAAUGCAACAAGCUUUCUUAUGGACGAUAUUUAUAGAAAUCCAGGUCCACUUCAGUUUGAUGGUCCUGGUGCAGAUGCCAAGCCUAUAACUCUUUCUGUUGAAGACCAGGACUACAUGGGUCGCAUUAAGAAACUUCAGGAGUACCUUGAAUAGGUUCGAGACAUUGUGAAGCCAGGAUGCCCUCAGGAUGUUUUGAAAGCAGCUCUUAGUGUCAUGGGGUCUGUUACAGAAGUUCUAGCUGCCAUGUCAUCAUCUUCUAGCAACAACCUGUCAUCCCUUUAAGAGUUUCACAUGAAAGUUGUAUUCUUUUUGACAUUU